rnacentral:rRNA from 1 species
CCUACGGGGGGCUGCAGUGGGGAAUAUUGGACAAUGGGCGCAAGCCUGAUCCAGCCAUGCCGCGUGUGUGAAGAAGGCCUUUUGGUUGUAAAGCACUUUAAGCGAGGAGGAGGCUUACCUGGUUAAUACCUGGGAUAAGUGGACGUUACUCGCAGAAUAAGCACCGGCUAACUCUGUGCCAGCAGCCGCGGUAAUACAGAGGGUGCGAGCGUUAAUCGGAAUUACUGGGCGUAAAGCGCGCGUAGGCGGUUUGUUAAGUCGGAUGUGAAAUCCCCGGGCUCAACCUGGGAAUUGCAUUCGAUACUGGCAAGCUAGAGUAUGGGAGAGGAAGGUAGAAUUCCAGGUGUAGCGGUGAAAUGCGUAGAGAUCUGGAGGAAUACCGAUGGCGAAGGCAGCCUUCUGGCCUAAUAC